CUCUCUCUCUGUCCACCAUGAUGCCAUGCAGAUCAUGGGCUCUCUGACAGUUGUUGAAUUAGCUGUUCAAAGACUUUGUUUAUUCUUCUCCAAGGUGGCUCGCAGACCCAAACCUGAGGCCUGUGUAGGUGCAGGCGCAGACUGCUGUAGAGAUUUGUGUUCCUUCCCUUCUCUUCAUCACUGUUUAGGCCAGCGCGUUGGGUGAGGGCUAGAUUUAUGAACCCCUCCGUUGGGCUGCCUGACUUCCAUAGUUCACAGCCGGGCCACCUCGGGAUGUGGAUUUCUGUUCUUUUGCCAUUGUUUUCCCACUCUCUAUUUCUAAUUUCUCUUUCUUUUUCAGAGGGUGAUGCUGUUAUUUCCACCCCGAGUGCUUGGCCCCACGAUUUGGCUCUGGGCUCUGUAACCCAUGGCAACAAGAGAAGGGAAGCAGGUGGCCCUUGGUGUUCAAAGCCCAGCAUCCCCAAGAAGCUGGCUGAAUACACAGUCUGGGCUUUACCUCACACAGUUCAGGUGAGUGCUGAAGUUUAAGAACUAUUGUCAUGAGGAGUGGCAGGGAUUUGGCAGAGGUCACUGUAGACUUUACCACGGUUUAUAGAGGGAAUAUGCAAAGGGUAGCAAGUGAGCCAAAGUCUCGGGAAGAAGAUCAUCAUUAUCCCUCACUGUUUUAAAGAAAAAUGUUCACUUAUUACUUAAAUUUAUGUUUUUCUUUAAAGAGAAAAUAUAGUGGCCCACAAAGCUGUAAACUAUAAAAGUUAUAAUGUUAAUUCACAGGAGACAGAGUGGAAGAGUGGGAAGAGAUAUUUGCAAUGCUUAAACUCUAGAAAAAAAAAGAGCUGACACUAGUAUUUAGAAUGUAAAAGAACUCCGCAAAUGGACCAGAAAGCCCGUGGGAAAAAUGCAGAAACUGUAUGAAACUUAACUGAAGGACUCAAGUUUGAAGGGGUGCUCAAGCUGAAGGGUCAAGAUUUUAGAAAACUGGGUUGUUCUGGUUGUUUGCAUGGAUGUGAGGUUGUGGGAACUCUUUCUCAUCACUGCAGAGGAGUAAAGGAGUAUGAUCCUUUUAGAAAGCAAUCUGAUGAUCUCAAUGGCCUUAAAUAUGAGGAUGCCCUGAGACUAAGGGGGCAAGAUGCCCUUCUUACCCAGGGUAGCAGGAAACCUGAGGUUCUGGCAUAAUUAGUAAUAGUGCCACUUCUUACUCCCCAAAAUGUCCUUACCAAAAUAAAUUACAUACUCAUCCUACUUCUGCAGUUUUACCUCUAAACACAUAUCUUGAAAAUAUUUUUAUAAAGGGAUCAUACACAAGAAUGCCUUUUUAGCAUUAUUUGUGAUAAUGUGGAAUUGAAAUCAAUCUUUGGAGCCUUCCACUAGAGGAAUUGACAAAUACACUGGGGUCAUACUUUCUAUGGUAUGCCAUAUAGCAGACAGAGGUGAUAUUUUAAUAUGUCUACAGUAUAUAGCAAUAUGAACUCAUUCUAAAAGCAAAAUUAUGAAUGUAAAAGCAUGAGAUUUAAAGCAAGAUUCUGUUUGUCCAAAUUUUAAAACAAAUUCAGAUUUGUUAAAUGUAAAAUAAUAACAGAUAUACAAAAACAUGUACACAUGUCAAAAAUAUUGAAAUGCCUAUUUUAGGGCAAGAAAAAUAUAGAUGAUCUGAGGUGAUGAAUUUAAAAAUUCAGUUAAAUUAAGAGGAGGGUCUUGUAUGGAGUUAUGUGAUGAUGUGUAAUAAAAAGAGGUGUGAAAUUAUUAUAAACCACUGCCCUUGAGGUAAAAAAUAAAGGACCAAAGAGGGACUAUAAUAUUAUUUUCCAUCUCUGGGAAAGUAGUGAAAAAAAUUUUCCUUCAAAUAAAAUAUGAUCAUAAUUAGGAAGUGAUAGUUCAUAGGAUAAUUUUGAAGUUUGUCCUUAUAAUGGAUUGACAACUGGUGGUCAACUUAUAACCCCCAGCCGAACUGAGUAAGCAUGGUGCUGGGUGUGGGAGGCCCACCUGAUAAUUGUUGCCAGCAGCAUAAGAGGUAGAACUGGAGAAGAAGUCUGUUG
rnacentral:lncRNA from 1 species